UACGUAGGGUGCAAGCGUUGUCCGGAAUUAUUGGGCGUAAAGAGCUCGUAGGCGGUCUGUCGCGUCUGCUGUGAAAACUCAGGGCUUAACCCUGAGCUUGCAGUGGGUACGGGCAGACUAGAGUGCGGUAGGGGAGACUGGAAUUCCUGGUGUAGCGGUGAAAUGCGCAGAUAUCAGGAGGAACACCGGUGGCGAAGGCGGAUCUCUGGGCCUUACCUGACGCUGAGGCGCGAAAGCUAGGGGAGCGAACAGG
rnacentral:rRNA from 1 species